CACGGUUUGUGCGACGCAGCUAACGCAUUAAGCGCCCCGCCUGGGGAGUACGAUCGCAAGAUUAAAACUCAAAGGAAUUGACGGGGCCCCGCACAAGCAGCGGAGCAUGCGGCUUAAUUCGACGCAACGCGAAGAACCUUACCAAGGCUUGACAUAUACAGGAAUAUGGCAGAGAUGUCAUAGCCGCAAGGUCUGUAUACAGGUGGUGCAUGGUUGUCGUCAGCUCGUGUCGUGAGAUGUUGGGUUAAGUCCCGCAACGAGCGCAACCCUCGUUCUGUGUUGCCAGCAUUUAGUUGGGGACUCACAGGAGACUGCCGGGGUUAACUCGGAGGAAGGUGGGGAUGACGUCAAAUCAUCAUGCCCCUUAUGUCUUGGGCUGCACGCAUGCUACAAUGGCUGGUACAAACGGCUGCGAUACCGCAAGGUGGAGCGAAUCCGAUAAAGCCAGUCUCAGUUCGGAUUGGGGUCUGCAACUCGACCCCAUGAAGUCGGAGUUGCUAGUAAUCGUAGAUCAGCAACGCUACGGUGAAUACGUUCCCGGGGCUUGUACACACCGCCCGUCACAUCACGAAAGUCGGUAACACC
rnacentral:rRNA from 1 species